rnacentral:lncRNA from 1 species
GCGUGCGGUGUAGGCGCAUCUUCGCUCUGUUGGCCGUGGCUUUAGUAAGCACACACCUGCCUGCUACUCUGGUUAUCGUGGCGACGGCAGGUCUGGAUUGCCAGACAGGUUUUUCUUUUUACCUCGAGGCUUUCUCUGAAGGGAGUCGGAGCAUUUAAAAGGCGGCCUCAAGGUGGAUUGAGUCGGGGGAGGAUUAGCAGUAUUUGCUUAGGUUGUAAAACCGCGACUUUAUCUAAUAAAUCGCCAUUCAAGGUGCAAAUACAAACUUGGAACAGAGGUGCGUGACAUGUACCCCUUUUGUCCUAAAGUCAAGAAUCAAUAAUGUGACUUAGCCCUAUUAUCUUGCCUCUAAUUAAGCG